GAUAAAACAUUACGGUCCAGGCGGGGGUAGGAUGCAAUCUGCGUCCCAUGUGGACCUGCCUUAAAAUGUACCAAUCUAAAAUGGUUGCCUAAGUCAACAAAUGGGAGCAAUUCAAGAUUAACCUAUCACUUAGAAAUCAAGUGGCACUUUAUAUGCUUCAUAAACUCUUGAAGCUACCAGUAGUACUAUCAAAGAGAGCCAAAGUAAUAUGACACAAAGUCAUAUGAGUAUAUCAACUGCACAAGAAACAGCAAUCUCGCCAUGCACUAUGUGAAAGCAGAAAGCCUAUGAACCAGCAAGAAUCCUGCUACUUGCUACUGCUGCAAAAAAACAGAGAUGUGACAGACAUGAGUGAUAAACGAUUCAUCCAGCUUAGCAACUACCUGAAUAGGAUGAAAGUUAGACUUCUUGAAAAUUAAGGAAUAAAAUUCCAUUGUGUGUGUCAAAUAGACUUCAUAAUGCAGGAUUUGCCGUACAUAAGGACAGUUUCAGAUUUUGAUGAACUACAAGCAUGAGAAGUGAGCUUGUAACUGUUGCUACAGCAAAAGCGCCUAACCAAGAAAGCAGAGACUUCCUAGCAGCGUAACUAAGAACCAAUCAAUUUUAUUUCAUUGAAGAUUUCACUGAUCAUUUUUAGCAAAUAAUCCAAACGAAUAUCAUGCCACUUAAAAUGCAACCAUAUCCACCUUAUCUACUUACUCCUAAAUGUAUACUACAAAAUUUAGAUCCUGCUGUAAUGAAUAAAUGGCAUGCCUUCCAUCAUCACGAAUAAAUCCUUGAUGCCAAAUUGGGCUGACCUGGAACCCUCCUAACACACUGUUAUUGAAUUCCUGUACAAAAUAAAUGAGAGUCAAGGUUUCUUGUGGGUAUCAUAACUUAGGACGGCAAA